AGUAUGCCCCGAAUAUCCCGGGCUACACGCGAGCUACAAUGGUUGGUACAAUGGGUAUCUACCCCGAAAGGGGACGGGAAUCUCCUAAAACCAAUCUUAGUUCGGAUUGAGGGCUGCAACUCGCCCUCAUGAAGCUGGAAUCCGUAGUAAUCGCGUUUCAACAGAACGCGGUGAAUACGUCCCUGCUCCUU
rnacentral:rRNA from 1 species